GCCCUGAAAAUGGAUGGCGCUCUAGCGUCGUGCUUAUACCGGGCCGUCAACGGCACAGUGGGCAGUUGCGGUCUCCGUAACUGCCGUUAAGUCUUGACGAGUAAGAGGGUCGCGACGGUGAGCGCAGAAGGGUCAGGGCGAGAGCCUGCCUGGAGCCGCCGUUGGUGCAGAUCUUGGUGGUAGUAGCAAAUACUCUAGCGAGGGCCUGGAGGACUGACGUGGAGAAGGGUUUCUUGUGAACAGCCGUUGCACAAGAGUCAGUCGACCCUGAGCCCUAGGAGAAAUCCGAUGACGAUGGGUGGCUUGACAAUAUAUGCGCACACAUGAGUACAACAUAUGUUGUUGCUCUGUGAGACACAUUUUAAUCACAGACCACAGACUGUGUCUGUCGUUUAGUGUUGCACUUACGACUGAACAGCUCCUAUUGGGCAAAAGGGAAUCCGGUUCCUAUUCCGGAACCCGGCUGCGUAACCGCAUCUUUGCGGGCACUUGCUUGCGAGCGCUCGUCGGGGUAACCCAAACUGGCCUGGAGACGCCGGCGGGGGGUCUGGAAAGAGUUUUCUUUUCUUUAUAAGCGUUCGAGUACCCUGGAAUCCUAUAGCAGGGAGAUAGGGUUUGGAACGCGAAGAGCACCGCAGUUGCGGCGGUGUCCGGACCUUCCCCCCGGACCUUGAAAAUCCAGGUGAGGGCCACGCGGAAGUCGCGCCGGAUCGUACCCAUAUCCGCAGCAGGUCUCCAAGGUUAAGAGCCUCUAGUCGAUAGAAUAAUGUAGGUAAG
rnacentral:rRNA from 1 species